rnacentral:rRNA from 1 species
UACGGAGGGUGCAAGCGUUGUUCGGAAUUAUUGGGCGUAAAGAGCUCGUAGGCGGCUCGGUAAGUCAGGUGUGAAAACUCUAGGCUCAACCUAGAGACGCCACCUGAUACUGCUGUGGCUAGAGUCCGGUAGGGGAGCAUGGAAUUCCUGGUGUAGCGGUGAAAUGCGCAGAUAUCAGGAGGAACACCAGUGGCGAAGGCGGUGCUCUGGGCCGGAACUGACGCUGAGGAGCGAAAGCGUGGGGAGCAAACAGG